AGAGCGUUCGCUCCUAAAAAAACCAACGAUUUUAAUACAUUUUCUGUGACUAGUCUAAGAAUUUGAGAAAUUUUCUUGGUCCGGCGGAAAGCUAUUGCCGCCGUGAAACCCACACACGUACACGAAAAUAACUCUUUGUGUGGAAAAUCUACAGCACCGCAGUGUACGGCAUUUCACAUUCUUUGACGUUGAGUUACAUGGAAGCGGCAGUAGAAGGGGAGUAGAAGAAUGCCACAUGACACACUGCCGGCAUUGUUGGGAUAAGCCGACCUGGCCUCGAGCGCGCUCGUUGGAAGUGAGCCUUCGCUUGGAAGUAAGACUCGAAACGUUGUUUACUUGCCUCUGGUGAGCGUGGUUGCUGCCGAAAAACAUUAACUGGGCAAUUGUGAAGUUAAUAUUGACUGUGACGAGCAAGUGUAUGUGCAACGGACCUGUGAAGAGUGCAUUGGUUUCAAGGAAAAUCCUAAUUUUUCGCGAAAAACCAAUAAAGUGUGUGUUUAUUUCUGAUAAUUUCUUAUUCAACAGAAAAAGAGAAUCAUCUACCAGUACCAAGGUAAUAUUUGUUGCCAGUAGCUGUAUAAAUCUUCAUUUAUUUCACUUAUAGAAAUUUAGAAUUUUAAGACUAUGUAAACCAAUGGUAAAAAAUUUGAAUUUAUAAUGAUCCAUCAUUACAAAAUUGUAAUUCACCCGAUCAGAUAUGAAAGAAAAAAAGAUAAUAAACACUAAUGGUUAUAAACUUAA